ensembl:lncRNA
AUCAAGGUUGGGGGAAAGGGCAGCCCGGGCUCGGGGGCGGGGGGUAAGGGGGGUGCUCUGGGGUGGGGAUUCGCCUCCGAGUGCCCUCUGGUUUUCUUCUCCCAUCCGAGGCAAAAUGGAUGGGGCUGGAGAGCGCCAGAGCUGUUUGGGGAUGGGGACCAGGUGACAGCGGGUCUUGCUGCAGGGAUGGGAGUGAUUACGGUGUUUGGGAGGGGUCCAAAAUCGUACGGCACCCUGUUGUCCCAGCUGGAUGCCGGGCUGGCAGCGAGCAGGAGCCAGGCCGUGUGCCAGGCCGGGCAGUGCCGAGCCGGGCUGGGCCGUGUUAUGCUUUGCCGGGCCGUGCCGGGACACUGCAGCCUUUCCCGCAGGGACACACCCCAGAGACGGCUGGAGGAUGAGAACCUUUCUCCAACCACGCUCUUCACUUGUAUUUUUUCUGGUGCCCCGAGGAGGUGUGUGUAAAAGUGUCUCCAGCUCCAUCCAGCCCUGCAAGUCCCAGGAAAGAGGACCGGUGGCCUGGACAGAGAGCAAUGUGUGCCGGGAGUUCAUGAGGUCUGAGUGUACAGACUCGCCCCAUAGGGACCCGUUUCAUUGUGCCCGCGGCCUGCAGUGCCGCUCUGGGAUGGAGCAGUGCCAGCACCGGCCCCAGCUCCUGACACCUUUCUCUGGGAUCGAGAAGGGCCCGCACAGGCGGGGGAGCAGCGCUCUGAAUAAGCGCGUCAUCGCCGCCCCCCGAGUAUUUACGGCAAAGCUGCCAAAGUAAACGAGCCCACUGCAUUUUAUUUCGGAUAAACAUAGCCCGGCCACGGCUGCGUGUUGCCUUCCGAGGGCUGGGAGCAGAGCGGAGGCUGCGGCUAGAGGAGAUGGAGGUGCUUGGGAGGAGGGAUGCUCGGACCUGCAGUGCCAUAAGGAAACGCAACGAGAGGACGGAGUCACUCUGGUUCGGUGUGCGGGGCUGUGGUGCGUGCUGACCCCGCUCCCUCCUGCACAGCAUCAACGAGCACCGCUGUCAGCCCAGCACGCACGGGGUGCAAGGAGACUCCGCGGCUUUAGCUGCUGGAUCACGGAUUUGCGCUGCACUCAGCGCACGCCCCCCUCCCCCCCCCCCCCGGGGCGCGCACACCCACACAGCCUCCCCUGCACACGCACACGGGGCUCGCAGCACGCACACACGCCUUGGAGCGGCUCCCGCAGGCUUGGGAGAGGACGUGUGGGCUCCGCAGUCGCGCUGCCAUUCUUUUCCUCCUGCCUUCUCCCUUCAGCUGGCUCUUCGGGCCACGGGGGAGGCUUGCCGCACGCCCCGAUCUCUCGUGCAGACGCUAAAAAGUUGCUUAGGAGGGCGAAAUCUGAGCGAGCGAAGCUCUCGCAGCCGCUCAGCAACCAGGGAAGCUCUGCUUUCCCUCCGGCCUGCAUUGAACCGGGGAAAAAGCAGAGAUGUUGCUGGCUGGGGAAGUGGCCAGAGAUGCUGGGGGCCCUGCGAGCCGCUCCCCCCGGCCCGGCCUUUGGCUUCUGCGCUCCGAGAUUAGAGAGCCGCGGCUCGGGGAGCCAGCGGGGACCUUUCACGGCUCUUUGAAGCGCUAAGAUAGUGUCGGCCUUGGUGCAGCGCGGCCUGCAGACGGGCCCGGGGCAGCCGGCUAUCUCGGCGUGCUAUCACCCGGCCUCCCCCCGCCACGGCCCCGUUCCCACCUCCGCUCGGCUCCCGGCCUUUCGCUCUGAUCUUUUUCUUUUUUUUUUUCCCUUUCUUUUUUCUUUUCUUUUCUUUCUUUCUUUCUUUUCUUUUUCUUUUUCUUUUUUUUUUUUUUUUUCUGCCUUACUCUCUUUCCUCCCCUUUCGCUCUUCGUUUUUGCGGACUUCCUUAUUUAUUUAUUUCCGCGCGUCGCCUAUUUAUUUAUUUCUGGCAAAGAGGCGGCUAACAAGUAGCUGGAAGCACUGGCCAAUAUUUAACUAAGAUGGCUGGCCAUCAGGUCCCCUUUUGUUUGCUUGCAAAUUAAUCAUCCAGCGCGCAGUCGGCGCCAGGGUAGAUUUAUCACACACAGGAGGGGGAACGAGGCGGCCGAAGGGAGACAAAGACUGUUCGCACCUUCCCGCUUUUGAUCUUAGAUUAGUGCAGCCUCCCUUCAUAAUACGAGUCUCCAGGGGGCUUCGUCGGGGAGGUCACUCGGAACUGGCGGAAGUUUGCACGCCAUCAGCCAGACGCUGACAUUGGAAAUCAUAAGCGGCGAACGCUUCAUUUCCCUCCGCGGGCCGCCGCGCGGGUGGGUGCCGAGCGCUGCGCAAAGUGCGG